AACGCGAAGAACCUUACCUACUCUUGACAUCCAGAGAAUUUGGCAGAGAUGCCUUAGUGCCUUCGGGAACUCUGAGACAGGUGCUGCAUGGCUGUCGUCAGCUCGUGUUGUGAAAUGUUGGGUUAAGUCCCGCAACGAGCGCAACCCUUAUCCUUUGUUGCCAGCACGCAAUGGUGGGAACUCAAAGGAGACUGCCGGUGAUAAACCGGAGGAAGGUGGGGAUGACGUCAAGUCAUCAUGGCCCUUACGAGUAGGGCUACACACGUGCUACAAUGGCGCAUACAAAGAGAAGCGAACUCGCGAGAGCCAGCGGACCUCAUAAAGUACGUCGUAGUCCGGAUUAGAGUCUGCAACUCGACUCCAUGAAGUCGGAAUCGCUAGUAAUCGUAGAUCAGGAUGCUACGGUGAAUACGUUCCCGGGCCUUGUACACACCG
rnacentral:rRNA from 1 species